CCAGCCUCUAUCUCCAUAGCCGCACGUCGAGCCACAGACAGGGAGACUAUAGCCUUGGCGUUGGAAAUAGAGAGAGAGAGAGAGACAGGGAAGGGAGAGAAGGGUGGAGCCGCUGCUGGCUAACUUGGAUAUCGGCUCGUAGAGUCCCCAGGACACGCAGAGUUCUCGGCACGGGUGGCCGAGGUGUGGCCGGCUUCGUGCCGGAGCUUGUAGUUUGUCGCGGCGGGAUCGAGGGCUCCGCCGAUCCCUGCAGCUCAGGCGGUGCCGGUGGGAACAAGCGCUCCGUCCAUCAGAUCGCAGGCGGGGGGAGAAUGAUUGUCGCUGAAUCCUAGGGUCACCGACGUUCGUCUCAUGCUUUUCACUGGAUCGGUCGACCCUCUCCUUAUGCACCGGUAAGAAACCUUUCCCCUUGGCCGCUUCGAAUUCGUCCAUAAAACGUGUAGUUGCUGUUGAUGUUGGGCGCUGGAUCGCUGUGUCAUGGGCGCCUAUGAGCUCAUCGCCGUGGGACCGCUUCGCGUCGGGCGACCUUGGCUAGCUAGUAGGGAGAGAAGGAACGCUGGGAGGCCGUGAGGUAGAAGACAUCGCGCGGCCGUCGGAUUUGAACUGAGGGCUGAGAUUAGAUCUGGGAGGGUUGGCUGUCGGCCGUUGAUGCGAGGAUGGACGAACCGGAUCAGGACUCCCAAACCGCUUCACGUUAUUUAAUCGGAGUCGUUGAUCUUCGAAUCCACGAUCCAAAUCGAGUCUUCGCUAUUUUAAAUCUCUACCAUUGAUUCCGGAUCCAAGGGGCUGGAUGGCGUACCGGUUCGUGGCCGACUAGUUUUAAUCCGGACGCCCCGUUAGGAUCAGACGGUCGAGAUCAAACCGCACCUAUUCGCUCUGGCACAAUUGCAUAAGAGUCCCUCGGGAAGUAGGAAAUAGAACCCACCAUCCACCUUCACUGUGCGCCGUGUCUUGGGGGUUUUGUCCCGAACCCCCUAGGUUUCUCUGGAUUUGAGGCCUGGUCCAGUGUAAUAUUAAACCAGAGAAAUUAAUCUAUAAAUGGGUUUUUAAUAAAUAAAUAAAUGUUAGAACUUGAUUAAAUCAUAGAAAAUCCAUUUUUAGUCCAAAUUAACCCAUUCAACUUCUAUAUUUUUGUAAUAUUAUUCUCUAUCACUUAGAGACUCUGUUUUUACAUGUUUGGUGUGAUGUUAAUUUUCUCUAUAUACUGUGCUUGUUUGUAUUGUGGCGAGUAGAAGAGCGUAUGACCGAGGAUCCUGGUGACCAGUUGAUAGAAGUAGCUGAGCAGGAGCUCAUUGAAGGCAAGUUGUGCCCUUGAUCACUUCUUUUACCCAUUCAUGUUCUUAUUAAUCAUAAUGAUCUGCAUAGGUUAAUUUUGAUGGGACCCAAUAGGUUACCCUAGAUUUUGACUAUCUUUAUACCUUGUUUCACCACUAGUUUUACUACUAAAUUUUUGGGUAGUACAUGCUAUUGCUUUAUGUGGCUUUGGGUAUAAAGAUAUUCAUCACUCAUUGUUAUACUUUUAUUAUCUGUUUAUUAUUAUUAUUCAUGAUAAGAUCAUUAUGUUAAUGGGAACAUGGAGAACCACCCGAGAAAACAGUGCUACCACAAGGGUUUAAUGGGACGCCCUUGGCUGAUUAACUAGGAAAGCUAGUGGAUGACUACCUUACCUGAAAGGGGCAAGGGCAGUAGGAGAGUGGUCAGUGUAGGGAGGUCCUUGGGUUGAUUUUGCUGCGAUGGCGGUCAGGCGAGGGAUUCCUGCACUGGAGCUUCCUAUAAACUGUAGCGGGUUUUCUGAAGCUAGUGGAACUUUGUAAAGGCCUCAUAGUGGUACCCUGCCUCGCUUCCUAGGUAGAGGUGUAUGGAGUCUGAUCAACUCCGUGGCAAAUGGGUAACACGACUUGUGGGUAAAGAUGCGCAACCUCUGCAGAGUGUAAAACUGGUAUACUAGCCGUGCUCACGGUCAUGAGCGGCUCGGACACUCACAUGAUUAACUUAUGGAACUUAAACUUAAUUUGUCAUUUCAUUGCAUCUGGGAUUAUUUCAUUAUUACUUUUAUUUAUUAUUUCUAAGGUUUGGUAUUUACUUAUACUUAGUAAUUGCUAAUAAAAUUUUGACCAACUUAUAAAAGCAAUUCUCAGCUUCAGCCUUUAUUUCAUUGAUCAGCCUUACACUUCAUGAACUCCCACCUUUGGUGAGUUCAUGCCACAUUAUUCCCCACAACUUGUUGAGCGAUGAACAUGUGUGAGCUCACCCUUGCUGUCUCACACCCCCCACAGGAGAAGAACAAGUGAUCGAAGAGGAGCCGCCUAACACUGAGGCUUUCGACUUGAUCUAGGUGGCGUCUCCCAGUCAGCUUUCUAGUGCCAAGGAUAGAUUUUAGAUCCUGUGAUAUUUAUCUCUUAUUUUGUAAGACUUCCGCUAUGUAAUAAGUACUCAGAUUAUAUGUGACAUUUAUCUCUAUACACUAUGUUAUUAU
rnacentral:lncRNA from 1 species